rnacentral:misc_RNA from 1 species
GGGAAGGAACAAGGGAAUAAUAAAAUUUGACACAGCUUUCUCUGAGCUCAAGCUUGUGUGGGAGAGUUAUCCAUGGCAACACUAUACAGAGUGAGAUCACUACUUUCUGUCUUCAACACCAAAUCCACACUCUCUACAUAUGCUCCAGUUUGCAGCUUCUCUACAUCACCACCCUGUUCUCAGUUUGAGAGUGUUGGAUUCAUUGGGCUGGGAAAUAUGGGAUCCAGAAUGGCAAACAACCUAAUUAAGGCUGGAUACAAAGUGGUUGUUCAUGACGUAAAUUGUAAUGUCAUCAAGAUGUUUACUGACAAGGGAGUUCCAGCAAAACAAACACCAUUUGAAGUUGCAGAAGCUAGUGAUGUUGUAAUUACAAUGUUACCCUCAUCAUCUCAUGUAUUGGAUGUCUACACUGGACCAAAUGGGUUGCUUGAUGGUGAAAGUCGCCUGAGACCACAUUUGUUUAUAGAUUCAUCAACGAUUGAUCCUGAAACAUCAAGAAAGGUUUCUGCAGCUGUAUCCAACUUCCUUUUAAAAGAAAAGAAAGGUUUUUGGGAGAAACCUGUCAUGUUGGAUGCUCCUGUGUCCGGAGGUGUUCUUGCUGCAGAAGCGGGUACUCUCACUUUUAUGGUUGGUGGCUCUGAGGAUGCUUGUCUGGCUGCCAAACCCUUGUUUCUGUCAAUGGGCAAAAACACUAUCUAUUGUGGUGGAGCAGGAACUGGUUCAGUAUGUUCUCAUAAACACUCCGGGCUAAUAUCCUUCCAUUAACCUUUCUUUUAUUGUAUUUUUUGGUUUAUCUUUCUUUUUUGAGAUUAUUGAUAGGUGAAAUCAGAUUUAUUAUGCAUUUGUAGUUUCUCUUGCAUUUUCCCUUUUCAUAGCUGAUUUUUAUGCUUCUGUGCUUCAAUGAUAAUGGAUUUAUAAUGGGAAUUGUCUGCAUAUAGUCAUCUUUCUUUGUGUAACUGAAAGUUGUACUGGUACCAUAAAAUGAGGAAUUUUCAAUUUCUGGUAAAACGGAUCAUUCAGAGUGCUAAAGAUUGUUGCAACUAGUAUAACUCAUGUCUCAUCCAUUGGUGCUUAUUGUCAAUGCUAGACAUGAAAAAUUAUUGGUUGCAAAAUCCUACGGAUACGUACUAGACUCCAACAGAUGUAAUAGUUCAAAUUGUUAAGUUGACUAUUAUUUCUUUAUGAUUCUAAAGCAUGGCCACUGCUGUAAUGCUACCUCCUGAUCCCUUACAUAUGCCUGGUUGCAAUAUGUAGAUCUUUCCUUGUGAUCUUAGACAUUCUACUAUAUUUUAUUUCCUUAGAAAAACAAACCUAAAUUAAUUUGCUUUGAGGACAUCAGAUACUUAUGUAUGGCAUGCUCUAUAAGCCUGAUAUCUUGGAUUUUGAAGCAGCCAUCUUUCAUGUCUUGGUAUCCAUGUGACAUCUGAAAAUAAGUUGGGCUGUAAUGCAGCCUAUCCAGUGAUUUAAGCUUUCUUUGAUCAAAUGCUUUUCACUGACUAUUUGUACUUAAGUAUUCAUCUGUCUGUUCUGGUUGUUAUCCAGGAUUGAUAUGGUGCAGAUUUCUGUAAAAUGAGAAAAAAUGGGUCUGGUAAAAAACAAAUUGUAAUCAUUCGUGCUUGCAGAAGUAGUCCAAUUUCCAAAUAAAUAUUUUAUUUAGCACUUUAGCUUCACCUGCCUAUAUUCAUAUUUGAGCAUCUGAUAUCUUUAUUGUUUGCUUUGUUAUUUAGGCAGCAAAAAUUUGCAACAAUUUGGCAAUGGCCGUGAGCAUGCUUGGGGUAUCAGAAGCCCUUGCUCUUGGUCAGUCACUUGGAAUUGAAGCUGACACUCUAACAAAGGUUUUUAACUCUUCAAGUGCUCGAUGUUGGAGUAGUGAUAGUUAUAACCCAGUUCCUGGAGUUAUGGAAGGGGUGCCUGCUUCAAUGGAUUAUGCUGGUGGAUUUGCAUCUAAGCUCAUGGCCAAAGACUUGAGCCUUGUUGCAGCAUCAGCUAAAGCAGUCGGUCUUAAAUGCCCUCUGACAUCCCAAGCAUUAGAGAUAUACACAAAGCUGUGCAAGGAUGGUCAUGAAAUGAAGGACUUCUCCUGCGCUUUCCGCCAUUAUUACUUUGGUAAGGAUGAGCAGUAGCUUGAUCAAUGAGAGUUGCUGAUUAUAUAAGAUCCUCAAGCAAGGAUGGAGCAGGGGCUUCCUACUUGGGACCGAGUCUAGCCUGGAUUUUUUGUUGGUGACCAUCGCCAACAAAUUAUCUGCGCCAGAUAUUGAAAUACUUGGAGCUUCACCCAAUUCUCAACAUUUCCUGUAGUACAUAGAAUUUGAAGUGGAGUUUUUGGUUAGUGCUAAUUGAAUCAAGUAUUGUCCUUUCAGUAUAAAUAAAUGCUAAAAUGAAUCCUGUAACAUUUUCCAUAGCCUGAUGGCAAUGAUAAUGAAUCAUUAUGGUUUUUCACAGAUU